UACGUAGGGUGCAAGCGUUUGUCCGGAAUUAUUGGGCGUAAGAGCUCGUAGGCGGUCUGUCGCGUCUGCUGUGAAAACUCAGGGCUUAACCCUGAGCUUGCAGUGGGUACGGGCAGACUAGAGUGCGGUAGGGGGAGACUGGAAUUCCUGGUGUAGCGGUGAAAUGCGCAGAUAUCAGGAGGAACACCGGGUGGCGAAGGCGGGGUCUCUGGGGCCGUAAACUGACG
rnacentral:rRNA from 1 species